GAUGAACGCUGGCGGCGUGCCUAAUACAUGCAAGUCGAGCGAACAGAUGAGGAGCUUGCUCCUCUGACGUUAGCGGCGGACGGGUGGGGAACACGUGGAUAACCUACCUAUAAGACUGGGAUAACUUCGGGAAACCGGAGCUAAUACCAGAUAAUAUAUUGAACCGCAUGGUUCAAUAGUGAAAGACGGUUUUGCUGUCACUUAUAGAUGGGUCCGCGCCGCAUUAGCUAGUUGGUAAGGUAACGGCUUACCAAGGCAACGAUGCGUAGCCGACCUGAGAGGGUGGUCGGCCACACUGGAACUGAGACACGGUCCAGACUCCUACGAGAGGCAGCAGUAGGGAAUCUUCCGCAAUGGGCGAAAGCCUGACGGAGCAACGCCGCGUGAGUGAUGAAGGUCUUCGGAUCGUAAAACUCUGUUAUUAGGGAAGAACAAAUGUGUAAGUAACUAUGCACGUCUUGACGGUACCUAAUCAGAAAGCCACGGCUAACUACGUG
rnacentral:rRNA from 1 species